GACGAACGCUGGCGGCGUGCUUAACACAUGCAAGUCGAACGGUGAAGGAGAGCUUGCUCUCCGGAUCAGUGGCGAACGGGUGAGUAACACGUGGGCAACCUGCCCCAGACUUCGGGAUAACGCUUCGAAAGAGGUGCUAAUACCGGCUAAGAACUCCUUGGGCAUCCUUGGAGUUGGAAAGUUUUUCGGUCUGGGAUGGGCUCGCGGCCUAUCAGUUUGUUGGUGAGGUAACGGCUCACCAAGGCGACGACGGGUAGCCGGCCUGAGAGGGCGACCGGCCACACUGGGACUGAGACACGGCCCAGACUCCUACGGGAGGCAGCAGUGGGGAAUAUUGCGCAAUGGGCGAAAGCCUGACGCAGCAACGCCGCGUGAGGGAUGACGGCCUUCGGGUUGUAAACCUCUUUCAGCAGGGAAGAAGCGAAAGUGACGGUACCUGCAGAAGAAGCACCGGCUAACUACGUGCCAGCCGCCGCCGUAA
rnacentral:rRNA from 1 species